rnacentral:rRNA from 1 species
UACGAAGGGUGCAAGCGUUACUCGGAAUUACUGGGCGUAAAGCGUGCGUAGGUGGUGAGUUAAGUCUGUCGUGAAAGCCCCGGGCUCAACCUGGGAAUGGCGAUGGAUACUGGCUCGCUAGAGUGCGGUAGAGGAGAAUGGAAUUCCCGGUGUAGCGGAUGAAAUGCGCAGAUAUCGGGAAGAACACCCGUGGCGAAGGCGGUUCUCUGGGACGGUACUGACGCUGAGACGCGAAAGCGUGGGGAGCGAACAGG